CCUACGGGAGGCUGCAGUGGGGAAUAUUGCACAAUGGGCGCAAGCCUGAUGCAGCCAUGCCGCGUGUGUGAAGAAGGCCUUCGGGUUGUAAAGCACUUUCAGCGGGGAGGAAGGCGUUAAGGUUAAUAACCUUGGCGAUUGACGUUACCCGCAGAAGAAGCACCGGCUAACUCCGUGCCAGCAGCCGCGGUAAUACGGAGGGUGCAAGCGCUAAUCGGAAUUACUGGGCGUAAAGCGCACGCAGGCGGUCUGUCAAGUCGGAUGUGAAAUCCCCGGGCUCAACCUGGGAACUGCAUUCGAAACUGGCAGGCUAGAGUCUUGUAGAGGGGGGUAGAAUUCCAGGUGUAGCGGUGAAAUGCGUAGAGAUCUGGAGGAAUACCGGUGGCAAAGGCGGCCCCCUGGACAAAGACUGACGCUCAGGUGCGAAAGCGUGGGGAGCAAACAGGAUUAGAUACCCUAGUAGUC
rnacentral:rRNA from 1 species